rnacentral:rRNA from 1 species
AAUUUUUGACAAUGGGGGAGACCCUGAUCCAGCCAUCCCGCGUGUAUGAUGAAGGCCUNAGAGUUNUNAAGUACUUUUGGCAGAGNCGAAAAGCCAUCCCCUAAUACGGGAUGCUGCUGACGGUAUCUGCAGAAUAAUCACCGGCUCCCUACGUCCCAGCAGCCGCGGUAAUAUGUAGGGUGCAAGCGUUAAUCGGAAUUACUGGGCGUAAAGCGUGUGUAGGCGGUUCGGAAAGACAGAUGUGAAAUCCAAGGGCUCAACCUUGGAACUGCAUUUUUAACUGCCGGGCUAGAGUAUGUCAGAGGGGGGUGGAAUUCCACGUGUAGCAGUGAAAUGCGUAGAUAUGUGGAGGAAUACCGAUGGCGAAGGCAGCCCCCUGGGAUAAUACUGACGCUCAGACACGAAAGCGUGGGGAGCAAACAG